GAAUAAAUCAACACAAGAUCACUAGGUUACAGACUUAGGAUACCAUCAGCCUGAAACUUCAGAGAGAAAUUAUAGCACACUUGAAACAAACAGGGAAAUUAGUUUAAGUGUUUCUGGAAGAAGUUGGUCUUCACCCGUUGUUUGAGGCAGCGGCUGUUUGGACAUCUAUGGGAUGUUCUUUUCAUCACUUUGCAGCCAGAACAGAAAAAAAUCUUGAUGUAGACAUUCUUCUUACCCUGAGAGACGAGCAGAAUAAAUCAGACGAGCUGAUAAACACUUAUAUUGGGUAUUUGGAUUCGGUAUUGGAUUCGGUAUUGGAUCAGGUGAUGGAUCAGGCAUUGAAGCAGUAAAGAGAGGAUGAAGGUGAAUGUUAAUGCUCCUGAACUCUUUCAGCAUGGCACACAGUCUCUCACUUUUCUGCCUGUUCGCACUACACUGUGUUUCUCUCUCCCACAUCGUUCAGUAUCCUGCAGUGGUGAAGGUGUCUGCAGGUGAAAACGUCUCGCUGAAGUGUGAUUCGGCGAACGUUUGGUCUGGAUGUGAUUCAGUCUCCUGGAUUAAAGUGGAUCUGAGGAGCAGAAGGCUGAUGGUGAGCACCGCUGUUCGUCCUGAUCCUGAUCCGAGAACCAGACCGUGUACAGGAAUGAUCUAUAACUCCAGCACGGCUGAUUCAGGGAUUUACUACUGCUCUGUGAAACACAGCGUUCUCUCCUACACCGGGAACGGCUCCACCCUCAUCGUCACAGAUCCACAUCCUCUGCCCCUGGUGAUGCUCUACGUCCCAGAUGUCCCUGUCGGACCCCCCGUGUCUCUUCAGUGUGUGGUGAUGGGCGUGGUUCCAGCUGAAGCAAAAGUUUCCUGGCUUGUAGGUGAAUCAGAGCUGACCGGCUGGACAGAGUCUGGGUGGACACACCGACAACCCUGCUGAAUACACACGAGCUCAUCUGAGCGUUCCCGCCGAGAACUGGAGGGAGGACCAGAAUGUGGAGUGUGUGGUGGAGGUGGAUGGCAGACGCAUCUCUAAAUCUCUAAUACAAGGAUCCGGGCAGCUGUGCUCGUGGUUGGUGUAUUUGUGCUCCGUCGUGGCCUUCGUCAUCUUCAUGGUUUUGGUGUUACUCUCGUUUCCUUACAGACCGGAGGCAGGAGGAGAACAGAUGCAGUGAACAGAGACACCGAAAUGGAAGUGCAGUACGCAAGUCUGGAUCUGGUCAAUAAAACACAACGAGGAAACUCUGAACAGAAAUGUUUUACUGAAUAAAGGUGUGUGUGUGUGUGUGUGUGUGUGUGUGUGUGUGUGUGUGUGUGUGUGUGUGUGUGUGUGUAGAAAAGCAUUAUAAUGUCCUCAAUUGCAAAUAAAAUCCACCUGAU